rnacentral:lncRNA from 1 species
AAGAAAAUCACGUGCAUGACAGCAUCUACGUAUUCACGUACUGCUGUUGCAUUUUAAAGGAAAACCGACAGAGUUUGUAGGAAAAGAAACAGUAUCAUUUUAUAGCUUAUAGUCACCAGUCCGUAUAUGUUUUGUUUGCAAUUCCCUUCCCUGAUCCCUCCUAAGCUCUAUUUAUAGCUCUCCCACUUCCCUAUCCUACAUAAGAGAAUUACAUUCUAGCUUCGUUCAUCGAACUGAAAAAGAGAAAAAAUGGACGAUUACUUGGUAUGAAUAAUUGUAUUCUCUUUCUUUCUUUAUUUCUAAUCUUACCAACUAACUCUUUUAUCUUCCCUGUUUAAACUAACUCUCCUUUGCAGGCACAGGAGACCAACAUGGAUUCUACCCUUUGGCUCAGAGCACAAGAGUCUUGAGUCCGAUAUAUAGAGGAAAAAAAGGGCAUGCUGGAAUAAGCCGAGAAAGCUGAAGAAAACAAAGUAAAAGUGGUCGCAGAUCGCAGAUACCAUCGUUAGUUGAAUAUCAAAUUCAACUAACAUGGACUAAUAUAUGUAUGUAUAUUUUGAGAUAUAUAAUUUAAAAGUGGUGGAAAACAAUCCUAUUUUUGUUUUCAAAAAUUAUGGGUGAUAAUCAUUUUUUUGAUCACCCGGAGAACCUGGUAUGUUAACAAUCUGCAUUCACGAAAAAAGUUAGCAUAAGUAGGGUAUUCAUGUAUUUAUUACUUGUGUUACAUCUGUUUCGAUCUCGGACGGGUAAAACAAAGAACCACUUUUGUUUAAUUAUAUCA